rnacentral:ncRNA from 2 species
AUCUUAUCGAGAGAAGUGGAGGGAACGGCCCGUUGAAGCUUCAGCAACCUAUAAUGAAAAGGUGCUAAUUCCGAGUAGAUAAGAA